rnacentral:piRNA from 1 species
UAGAAAGACAUUUUAAAAUUUCGGUUGAGG